rnacentral:rRNA from 1 species
UAAUACGGAGGGUGCAAGCGUUACUCGGAAUCACUGGGCGUAAAGCGCGCGCAGGCGGCCUUUUAAGUUGGAUGUGAAAGCCUAUGGCUCAACCAUAGAACUGCAUCCAAAACUAUCAGGCUAGAGUGUGGGAGAGGAAGAUGGAAUUAGUUGUGUAGGGGUAAAAUCCGUAGAGAUAACUAGGAAUACCAAAAGCGAAGGCAAUCUUCUGGAACAUUACUGACGCUGAGGCGCGAAAGCGUGGGGAGCAAACAGGAUUAGAUACCCUGGUAGUCCGCGCCCUAAACGAUGAAUGUCAGUCGUCGGGUAGCUAGUCUAUUCGGUGAUGCAGCUAACGCAUUAAACAUUCCGCCUGGGGAGUACGGUCGCAAGAUUA